rnacentral:rRNA from 1 species
GGUUUGGUCGAGCUGUCCGCCUUCGGGUGAGUACGGUUUGGCUGAAUCUUUCCUUCUGGGGAACUAGGGUGCUCUUUAUUGAGUGUUCUGGGGAUCCAGAACUUUUACUUUGAAAAAAUUAGAGUGUUUAAAGCAGGCAUACGCUUGAAUACAUUAGCAUGGAAUAAUAGAAUAGGACUU